AGACAAUAAUGUUUGUGUGUUUUGUGGCUCUUCCUGGGCUGUCCACUGGGCACAGAGACUCAAAACCCUGAUUGUCACUUCUGCCAUCAAAGUACUGAAACAUCAACAGAUCCCGCAAAACCUCAGAUGGGGCACCAUGAUGCGUUGUGCUGAGAAAGGUAACUGAUGGAAGGAGUGGAAGGAGUGGUGGAAGGAGGAAGAUCCAGCUGUAGGAAAUAACGUAUCGCCCUCUAGUGGUCCAAACCAAAAUUGCAUCAUUUAGCCUUAAACUGAGGCCAGAAAGUAAAACAGAAGAAGAGAAUCGAGGCCAUAAUAACAGAUAGAGGGCCAACUUUAAUAAUACAAGUAAGUAAAAGUGUCUUUAAAUAUGGUAUAAAAAUAAAUGCAGGAGGGAAUAACAAAGAAUUAUGUUCUACAUAGGACAGGAGACGGCAUUUUUGUCAUUUUGAAUGUGGCUUUACAAGUGCAAUGAAACCCAUAUGUGCUAAUAUUGUAGUGCAAUAAAAUAAUGCAAAGCAAAAUAAAUGCACAAUAAAUAAUGAUAAUAAUAAUAUAUAUGUAUAUAUAUUGUAUAUUCAUUCUGCACAACACUUCCCAUAGUGUGACCUCAGAUCAUGUAAAGCAAUGACACUGGUUAGAUUUUAGUUUAAGCUGUCAUUUCACAUUUUUCUAUUUGUUUUUUUCUCUGACAUCAUUUGUUUCAUCUGGAAGUGAGGGGGGAGAGGAAGGGGCUCCGGUCCAGUGGUUAACAUGGAAAGAACUGCAACACUGGACAUAUUUUUUUGUUUUGCCAGUCCGUCCCAACAAGUCCAGCAGCGUGUCCUUUCUGAGAAUACUGGAAAUAUAUCAGGUACUGUAAGAGUGGAGAGAGACCUCUCCAUGGACAUGCAACAUUCAGUGGACAACAGACGAACAGAUGGCCCGGCCCGUUGCCCGACUGAGCCGAGAGAGAAUGGUUAGAGAAUGAUGACGAAGAGA